rnacentral:rRNA from 1 species
AGUCGAACGCUUCUUUUUCCACCGGAGCUUGCUCCACCGGAAAAAGAAGAGUGGCGAACGGGUGAGUAACACGUGGGUAACCUGCCCAUCAGAAGGGGAUAACACUUGGAAACAGGUGCUAAUACCGUAUAACAAUCAAAACCGCAUGGUUUUGAUUUGAAAGGCGCUUUCGGGUGUCGCUGAUGGAUGGACCCGCGGUGCAUUAGCUAGUUGGUGAGGUAACGGCUCACCAAGGCCACGAUGCAUAGCCGACCUGAGAGGGUGAUCGGCCACAUUGGGACUGAGACACGGCCCAAACUCCUACGGGAGGCAGCAGUAGGGAAUCUUCGGCAAUGGACGAAAGUCUGACCGAGCAACGCCGCGUGAGUGAAGAAGGUUUUCGGAUCGUAAAACUCUGUUGUUAGAGAAGAACAAGGAUGAGAGUAACUGUUCAUCCCUUGACGGUAUCUAACCAGAAAGCCACGGCUAACUACGUGCCAGCAGCCGCGGUAAUACGUAGGUGGCAAGCGUUGUCCGGAUUUAUUGGGCGUAAAGCGAGCGCAGGCGGUUUCUUAAGUCUGAUGUGAAAGCCCCCGGCUCAACCGGGGAGGGUCAUUGGAAACUGGGAGACUUGAGUGCAGAAGAGGAGAGUGGAAUUCCAUGUGUAGCGGUGAAAUGCGUAGAUAUAUGGAGGAACACCAGUGGCGAAGGCGGCUCUCUGGUCUGUAACUGACGCUGAGGCUCGAAAGCGUGGGGAGCAAACAGGAUUAGAUACCCUGGUAGUCCACGCCGUAAACGAUGAGUGCUAAGUGUUGGAGGGUUUCCGCCCUUCAGUGCUGCAGCUAACGCAUUAAGCACUCCGCCUGGGGAGUACGACCGCAAGGUUGAAACUCAAAGGAUUUGACGGGGGCCCGCACAAGCGGUGGAGCAUGUGGUUUA